rnacentral:rRNA from 1 species
GCAAGUCGAACGAGAAAGUCCAGCAAUCCAUGAGUACAGUGGCGUACGGGUGAGUAACACAGUGGGUAAUCUACCUUUUAGUGAGGAAUAACCGAGGGAAACUUUGGCUAAUACCGCAUAAGCCCGAGAGGGGAAAGUCGAAAGACGCUGAAAGAGGAGCCCGCGGCCGAUUAGCUAGUUGGUAGGGUAAGAGCCUACCAAGGCAGAGAUCGGUAGCCGGCCUGAGAGGGCACACGGCCACACUGGCACUGAAACACGGGCCAGACUCCUACGGGAGGCAGCAGUGGGGAAUCUUGCACAAUGGGGGAAACCCUGAUGCAGCGACGCCGCGUGAGCGAUGAAGCCCUUCGGGGUGUAAAGCUCUUUCGUCAGGGAAGAUAGUGACGGUACCUGGAGAAGCAGCUGCGGCUAACUACGUGCCAGCAGCCGCGGUAAUACGUAGGCAGCAAGCGUUGUUCGGAGUUACUGGGCGUAAAGGGUGUGUAGGCGGUUCUUUAAGUUUGCUGUGAAAUCUCCCGGCUUAACCGGGAGGGUGCGGUGAAUACUGAGGGACUAGAGUACGGGAGAGGAAAGUGGAAUUCCUGGUGUAGCGGUGAAAUGCGUAGAUAUCAGGAGGAACACCGGUGGUGUAGACGGCUUUCUGGACCGUAACUGACGCUGAGACACGAAAGCGUGGGUAGCAAACAGGAUUAGAUACCCUGGUAGUCCACGCCCUAAACGAUGCAUAUUUGGUGUGGGCAGUUCAUUCUGUCCGUGCCGGAGCUAACGCGUUAAAUAUGCCGCCUGGGGAGUACAGUCGCAAGGCUG